CUUGAACGCUGGCGGCAGGCCUAACACAUGCAAGUCGAACGAGUGGCGGACGGGUGAGUAAUGUCUGGGAAACUGCCUGAUGGAGGGGGAUAACUACUGGAAACGGUAGCUAAUACCGCAUACCAUCAGAUGUGCCCAGAUGGGCUUAGCUAGUUGGUGGGGUAACGGCUCACCAAGGCGACGAUCCCUAGCUGGUCUGAGAGGAUGACCGGCCACACUGGAACGGAGACACGGGCCAGACUCCUAGGGGAGGCAGCAGUGGGGAAUAUUGCACAAUGGGCGAAAGCCUGAUGCAGCCAUGCGGGGUGUAUGAAGAAGGCCUUCGGGUUGUAAAGUACUUGCAGCGAGGAGGCGUUACCCGCAGAAGAAGCACCGGCUAACUCCGUGCCAGCAGCCGCGGUAAUAC
rnacentral:rRNA from 1 species